CCUACGGGAGGCAGCAGUGGGGAAUAUUGCACAAUGGGCGAAAGCCUGAUGCAGCGACGCCGCGUGGGGGAUGACGGCCUUCGGGUUGUAAACCCCUUUUGACAGGGACGCGGUACCUGUAGAAGAAGCACCGGCCAACUACGUGCCAGCAGCCGCGGUAAUACGUAGGGUGCGAGCGUUGUCCGGAAUUACUGGGCGUAAAGAGCUUGUAGGCGGUCUGUCACGUCUUCUGUGAAAACUUGGGGCUCAACCUUAAGCUUGCAGGGGAUACGGGCAGACUAGAGUACUUCAGGGGAGACUGGAAUUCCUGGUGUAGCGGUGAAAUGCGCAGAUAUCAGGAGGAACACCGGUGGCGAAGGCGGGUCUCUGGGAAGUACUGACGCUGAGAAGCGAAAGCAUGGGUAGCAAACAGGAUUAGAUACCCUUGUAGUC
rnacentral:rRNA from 1 species